CCUACGGGAGACAGCAGUGAGGAAUAUUGGUCAAUGGUCGGGAGACUGAACCAGCCAAGCCGCGUGAGGGAUGAAGGUACAGAGUAUCGUAAACCUCUUUUGUCAGGGAACAAAGGCGGGGACGUGUUCCCGGAUGGGCGUACCUGAAGAAAAAGCAUCGGCUAACUCAGUGCAAGCAGCCGCGGUAUUACGGAGGAUGCGGGCGUUAUCCGGAUUUAUUGGGUUUAAGGGGGGCGCAGGGGGUCUGUUAAGUCGUCGGUCAAAGCCGGGGGCUCAACCCCGGCCCGCAGUUGAAACUGGCAGUCUCGAGUUGGAGAGAGGUAGGCGGAAUGCGCGGUGUAGCGGUGAAAUGCAUAGAUAUCGCGCAGAACUCCGAUUGCGAAGGCAGCAUGCCGGCUCCACACUGACGCUGAGGCACGAAAGCGUGGGUAUCGAACAGGAUUAGAUACCCCAGUAGUC
rnacentral:rRNA from 1 species